rnacentral:rRNA from 1 species
AAAAGAACCUGAAACCGUGUACGUACAAGCAGUGGGAGCACCUUCGGGUGUGACUGCGUACCUUUUGUAUAAUGGGUCAGCGACUUAUAUUCUGUAGCAAGGUUAACCGUAUAGGGGAGCCGCAGGGAAACCGAGUCUUAACUGGGCGUUAAGUUGCAGGGUAUAGACCCGAAACCCGGUGAUCUAGCCAUGGGCAGGUUGAAGGUUGGGUAACACUAACUGGAGGACCGAACCGACUAAUGUUGAAAAAUUAGCGGAUGACUUGUGGCUGGGGGUGAAAGGCCAAUCAAACCGG